UACGGGGGGUGGUAGCGUUAUUCGGAAUCAUUGGGCGUAAAGGGCGCGUAGACGGUCUUUUAAGUCAGAUGUGAAAGCCCUCGGCUUAACCGAGGAGGUGCAUUUGAUACUAAGAGACUUGAGUAUGGGAGAGGGAAGCGGAAUUCCUGGUGUAGCGGUGAAAUGCGUAGAUAUCAGGAGGAACACCGGUGGCGAAGGCGGCUUCCUGGACCAAUACUGACGCUGAGGCGCGAAGGCGUGGGGAGCAAACAGG
rnacentral:rRNA from 1 species